UACGAAGGGGGCUAGCGUUGCUCGGAAUUACUGGGCGUAAAGGGCGCGUAGGCGGGUCGUCAAGUUGGGGGUGAAAGCCCGGGGCUCAACCUCGGAAUUGCCUUCAAAACUGGCGACCUAGAGUACGGGAGAGGUGUGUGGAACUCCGAGUGUAGAGGUGAAAUUCGUAGAUAUUCGGAAGAACACCAGUGGCGAAGGCGACACACUGGCCCGUUACUGACGCUGAGGCGCGAAAGCGUGGGGAGCAAACAGG
rnacentral:rRNA from 1 species